GACCCGGUGGUGUAGUGAUUAGCACUGUCACCUCACAGCAAGAAGGUUGUGGGUUUGAAUCCGACCUGGGGCC